GCAAACAAUGCAGACUAAUGUAAUGAAAUAAACAGAUUUACAACCAUUAGUACUCGCGGAGCGUAUCGUACUUUAUAUUCAAACGUAUUAAGAGAUCUAUGUCACAUUUCUAUGCUGUAUAACGAAAUGAGGCUUUUCACGUUACUAUGCUCUUAAGGGGGUGUCUUGAAUUAGAAUCUUCUAAAACAGCGUCUUUUUGUGAUUUUUUUUAGAAGGGAAAGAAAGAAAUGGUUAUUGAAUUUUGAGGUAUGGUUUUAUAUACAGGGUGGUUGGUAACUGGUGGUACAAGCGGAAAGGGGGCGAUUCUACGCGAAAAAAGAAGUCGAAAAUAUAGAAUAAAAUUUUUUUUUAAUUUUUUUUUUUAAUUUUUCCAUCGAGACAACGAUAUACAGUGAGAUCCGUUAUAACGAGACGUGAUAAAGUGCACGCGUACCGAGCGAAAAUUCAAAGUCGGUUUUCUCGAAAACAAAGCCUCAAACGCAAAAUUUUUAUUCUAUAUUUUCGACUUCUUUUUUCGCGUAGAAUCACCCCCUUUCCGCUUGUACCACCAGUUACCAACCACUCUGUAUAUUUUUAAAGUAAAAAGAAAUUAUAACAGAUUUCUAAGCCUAUUUCAUGGGCUGCAGUUUUCAAUCGGCGGGGAAGAUCCACUUCGUAAUUCUUGACCGAAACAAAAGACCAAAAAAGGAUUAAAUUAUAUAUUUUUCUUCUCGAUGAACUAAAAAAGGGCAGGAAAUAGUGUGAAAUUAAACAUUUUGGCGGGUUUAAAGAAAAAAUGUGUUUUAUAAAGAGAUAAAAUAAACUUUAAAGUGCUAUAACAAUUACUUAAAUAAACUUUCUGACUACCUUUUUUAGUUCAUUGAGAAGAAAAAUAUAUAAUAAUUUAAUCCUUUUUUGGUUUUUUGUUUCGGUCAAGAAUUACGAAGUGGAUCUUCCCCGCCGAUUGAAAACUGCAGCCCAUGAAAUGGGCUUAGAAAUCUGUUAUAAUUUUUUUUUUUACUUUAAGUUAUAGUUAUAGCAAUUUUUCCUCCAUUUACCUCCAUAUAAUGUCGAUUACAUAUUAAUUACAAACGAUAGCUACCGGGAGGUUGGACAGUUUCUAAUCUCUGCUAAUAUUCUCAUACUUAACAAACAACGUUGAUAACAAGAUUUUCAAUGAAAAAAAAGUGUCGACAAACUAUCUUAAUAUUUAAAUUAAUCUUACAACAUCCUGAUUUGCUUUUGUAUCUAUUUCCUCAGAAGAUAGAUUUCUUCUCUAAUAACUAUCAUUAUUAUAUAUUAUGAAUCACAAUUUCUACGAUCUCUAAUUACAAAUCCUCGUUCUGACAUCCGUGAACCAAUUUCGCAAUAAAUAUAUUUGUACAAUAAUCGCAAUCAAACUAGUACAAGGAUAGUUGUGAAGUAAGGCAUAAAAUAGACUAGCAUCAUCAACUUGUCAAUCAACGUCUCGAGUCCACGACGAAUAGUAAACUAUUGAGUUAAAGCGUUGUCAUACGUAUAAUGAGCUGACGUCAAGAAUAUCAUUUUCUUAUUUUAUUCAACGCUGAGAAUAUCAGUGUCGCAAGUGUUAAAAGAUGUGUACAUUCACUACGACGAUGACGAACAACAAAUUUAAGUGACGUUUCUUGAUCUUUUCUUCUUGUACUUCCUGUGUCUAUAACAGCAAAGUCAUAUCAUUUAGCGAUUUCAACACUCAGGUAUUGCAACUAUGAACUGAAAAUCAUAGUAUUGUUCUCCUUCAGUUAUAAUUUGAAUAUGAUAUUGCAGAAAGAAAUUGUUAUGUAGGUAUAUAAAGAUAUUCGUUCUCUAUGUUUUUGUUUCUUCGCUAAGAUAAACUCAAAGACUGAUUCAUGGUCAAAGAAACGCUUCAGCAACUUUGGUAUGACAGAUUACGAAAGUCGACGGAUAAGAUUUUCUUUCAGUUCCUAUAUCUAGAGAAUGCCAAGAAUUUCUGUUUAUUAAAUAAUAACGUUCAAUUCGAAUGAAUAAGAACUUAAUCGAUAUAUAUUUAUACGAGAUUGUGUAUAAAUGUAUAUAAAAGUAUAAACCAUUUUUCUGCAACUUCAAAUAUUCCUUGUAUUUGACUCCAGCAUGAAACCACAAGAAUUGAGGGCAUUAAUAUAAAGCAGCUUUUCUCGUGAAUGAAAAAGAGAAGGAAAUGAGUGUAUCUAUUAAAGCAAAAGGUAUCGAAACUUUGAAGAUCCCAAUGUUAGUGAUCAACAACGCUGAUAUUUAAAAUUUCAGCUGAUUUUAAUCAGCAAUCAGGCCGGAACUCUUUCUUUCUAAUGAAAAUAGGAGGAGGCACCGCUUCGCAAAUUAAAGCCGGGUUUUUAUUCAAAAUAUUCCAUGCAAAUUCCAAGCGAAUAAGCCUAUAAAGGAAAGCAUUGAUUGUAUCGAAGGAAAAACUAAUAUGCCAUUGGAAGAAAGUAGAAAAAUCGAUAUUAUAACUGACAGCGUUUCAUUACUUGAGCAUAAUUGCUGACGCCUGUCCGCUAAAUGAUUAAUAGCUUACGUACAAAAGCUGAUCCAUGCCACUAUUUAAGUUUCUGUGGGUCACCAGCAGAUUAUCCUUCGGAUGAUUUAUAGGUUUUGUGACGCAUCUUUUCUCGACCUUUUCAUCGAGAUAAAUUGACCAAAUAUCGAUAUGUAAUAUCCAAUAUGUGUGUUUAACAACGUCCUAACUUUAUUUAGAAAAUUAUGUCGGUUGUUUGCUUUUGAAUGAAACAGAAGUUGUGAUCAAAAAUGA